GUUAAACUUAUAGAUUGAAGCUAAUGAGUACAGCUAGAUGCAUUACAUUUACUUCUAGAUGUGCUUUGUAUACAUACAAAGUUAGAAAUGUUAGUUCUGUAGAACACGUAAGAAUUAUCGCAGGUAUACUAUGUCAAAUAGUUUAUUAUGGUAAAUUAGUUGUACUAAUUUAAAGGAGCCAUGUAAGUGUAUUUGAUUUAGUUGACAAAAAGGUUAGAGCGCCAUCUUCGGCGACAGACUUUUAUAGACAGAGUUUCAAAGUCAAACAAUGAUCAAUGAAGAACAAUGAGAAAUCGAUGAUUAAUUGCAACAUAUUCUUAGCUGCAGACAAGUUAAUUGACUAAAAGGAGGCAAGAAGUUUUCACGGAGUGAAAAGAACAGAGUUAAAAGAAAGGAGUCAAAGAAAGGAAGCUACGCUCCUACCAAAGAAUAAAAGAACACUCCCGUAAAAA